rnacentral:lncRNA from 1 species
CGACAAUCAGGGGAAUAAAUCAGGGAGGAAACUGAGAGGGAGAGCGAGAGCGCGCGAGCGCCAGCAAGCUUGCCGAGGACUGUUUCCAAAGUCGCCCUUGAUGGCGGCGGAGGAGAGGGAGGCGAGGCAGCCGUGGCGCUGAGCAGCCGAGACACGCUAGUGGGUCCUCCCGCCACCGCCCCUUCCCCGGCACCCGGCUUCGUCCUAGCGGUCCCCCGCGCCACUCCACGCCGCGGGCCCCGUGUGCGCCGGCCCUCCAGACGUCGGCGGUCUGCGAGAGCGUGCUCCUUUUCCGCCGCCAGCGGUUUCCAGCACCGCUCCUUUCCCCAGCUGGGGAGGGAGGGGGGAUUGAUCUUCGAUCGCGAAGAUGGCUGCUGGCUGCUUGCUGGCCUUGACUCUGACACUUUUCCAAUCUUUGCUGAUCUGUCCCUCGUCCGAGGAGCCGUUCCCUUCGGCCGUCACGUAAGUCGGCGGGCCCGGCAGGGCG